CGGCAAGACGGAAAGACCCCGUGAACCUUUACUAUAGCUUGACACUGAACAUUGAGCCUUGAUGUGUAGGAUAGGUGGGAGGCUUUGAAGUGUGGACGCCAGUCUGCAUGGAGCCGACCUUGAAAUACCACCCUUUAAUGUUUGAUGUUCUAACGUUGACCCGUAAUCCGGGUUGCGGACAGUGUCUGGUGGGUAGUUUGACUGGGGCGGUCUCCUCCUAAAGAGUAACGGAGGAGCACGAAGGUUGGCUAAUCCUGGUCGGACAUCAGGAGGUUAGUGCAAUGGCAUAAGCCAGCUUGACUGCGAGCGUGACGGCGCGAGCAGGUGCGAAAGCAGGUCAUAGUGAUCCGGUGGUUCUGAAUGGAAGGGCCAUCGCUCAACGGAUAAAAGGUACUCCGGGGAUAACAGGCUGAUACCGCCCAAGAGUUCAUAUCGACGGCGGUGUUUGGCACCUCGAUGUCGGCUCAUCACAUCCUGGGGCUGAAGUAGGUCCCAAGGGUAUGGCUGUUCGCCAUUUAAAGUGGUACGCGAGCUGGGUUUAGAACGUCGUGAGACAGUUCGGUCCCUAUCUGCCGUGGGCGCUGGAGAACUGAGGGGGGCUGCUCCUAGUACGAGAGGACCGGAGUGGACGCAUCACUGGUGUUCGGGUUGUCAUGCCAAUGGCACUGCCCGGUAGCUAAAUGCGGAAGAGAUAAGUGCUGAAAGCAUCUAAGCACGAAACUUGCCCCGAGAUGAGUUCUCCCUGACUCCUUGAGAGUCCUGAAGGAACGUUGAAGACGACGACGUUGAUAGGCCGGGUGUGUAAGCGCAGCGAUGCGUUGAGCUAACCGGUACUAAUGAACCGUGAGG
rnacentral:rRNA from 1 species